ACGUGAGUUAGUGGGCGGUGGUGGAAGAUCCAGCCUAAAAGGAUGAGACGUGGAGGUUUCUCAUUGGAACUGGUCAAAGUAAAAUAGUCUUCCGUACAAUUUAAUGAUUUUAUACACACAUUUAUUCCUUUAUUUAAUUCUGCAAGAAAUUUGUAUUCAGGUCGGGCGAGAAACCGCGUCUUUUGAAAAGUUCGGUUUUAUGGUUAGAGAUAGGGAGCAGCACUUUGUACAGUUACAUACGUGUGAGAUUAAUACUUGUAUUUGUAUAUCUGGGUGCCCAUCAUGUCCCCUCCCUAACAUAGUUUUUACUUUUUGAUAAAACAAGUAAGAUUUCGUAAGCAUUUUUUUUAAUCAAGGGACCGUAGAUAAUUAACAAUGAUAGUUGAACAGAACACCUUCCUUCUUUCUUUUUUUUUUCUUUUCAUCAGUUAUAUUUUUUUGCAAUGUAUUUAGAACUAGUAUGGAUCAUCUCGGACCCUUCACGCUCUCUGGAUGAAAGAUGAGCUCAAAUCCAUCACAAUGUCACAACACCUCUUGCUGCUGAAGUCCUAGUGAUGCGAGCAGCCCUCCAAGCAGCAGCCUUGCUAAAUGUGACCCACCUUCGGAUUUUCUCCGAUAACCAAACCCUGAUCAGGGCCAUCAACGUCAAACUCUUCGAAGAAAAGAAGAUCUACGGUAUCGUGAAGGAUAUCGAAGCAACUUUCCUUCUGUUUAUCGAUCUUUCUUUCUUUUUUCUUCCAAAGGGUGAGAAUUGACAGAUUGAUGCUUUAACCAAAUCCAUUCUCAGAAACCCAAAUUACGUAACUUGCUAAAUUCUUUCUACUUUUUUUAACGAAUUAUCGUUGAACAAAAAAAAAAAAGGAUCACAAACAAAGUCAAGUUAAAAAUCAAAAUAGAUUUAAAGCAUUGAAAAACAAAUUUUUAACGUAUAAACUUAAGAACUGGAAAAUAUUUAGAGCUAAAGCUGAAUAAAACUGUAUGUUGAACAGAACACUUCAACUUGAUAUGAUAGCCGAUAAAUAAAUAUAAAAAAAAAAUUGUGUAAAAAAAUCAUAUAAAAAAGAUAGAAUUUGGUUGAUGAUAGUAGUUUCUUGAUGGGCUUAUAGUGUUGGGCCCUUAGUGGAAAUAAGAAAGAAAAAAAACCCAACAUUGUGAGAAAACACUUAAAAGUUAGUUUCACCACUUCACUCGUAGAUGCUACGGCGGCGGCGGCGGCACCACCACAUCUCCGGAGAAGGCUACAAUGGGAAUUGAUUUGAUCGCAGGAGGUAAGAGCAAGAAGACGAAAAGGACAGCUCCAAAGUCCGAAGAUGUCUACCUCAAGCUUACCGUCAAGGUCCAACCCUUAAACAAACGAAUCUUUUGUCUUAUUUUUGAGUGAAAUCUUGUUUGACAUUUUGUGUAAUGAAAAAAAUUGCAGCUUUAUAGGUUUCUA